rnacentral:rRNA from 1 species
CCUACGGGAGGCAGCAGUGGGGAAUAUUGCACAAUGGGGGAAACCCUGAUGCAGCGACGCCGCGUGAGUGAAGAAGCGUUUCGGCGCGUAAAGCUCUGUCAGCGGGGAAGAAACACGGUUCGCGAGAGCUGCGGACGGUACCCGACCAAGAAGCCCCGGCGAACUACGUGCCAGCAGGCGGGGUAAUACGUAGGGGGCAAGCGUUAACCGGGUCCAAUGGGUGUAAAGGGAGGGUAAACGGCGAGACAAGGCUGGAGUGAAAAGCCGGGGGCCAACCCCGGGACUGCGCUGGAAACUGCCUGGCUGGAGUACAGGAGAGGUAUGUGGAAUUCCUAGUGGAGCGGUGAAAUGCGUAGAUAUUAGGAGGAACACCAGUGGCGAAGGCGGCUUACUGGACUUUAACUGACGUUGAGGCUCGAAAGCGUGGGGAGCAAACAGGAUUAGAUACCCUAGUAGUC